UACAGAGGGUGCAAGCGUUGUUCGGAAUUAUUGGGCGUAAAGGGCGCGUAGGCGGUGCGGUAAGUCACCUGUGAAAUCUCCUGGCUUAACUGGGAGCCUGCAGGCGAAACUACCGUGCUGGAGUGUGGGAGAGGUGCGUGGAAUUCCCGGUGUAGCGGUGAAAUGCGUAGAUAUCAAGUGGAACACCAGUGGCGAAGGCGGCUCACUGGCCCGGUACUGACGCUGAGGCGCGAAAGCGUGGGGAGCAAACAGG
rnacentral:rRNA from 1 species